rnacentral:rRNA from 1 species
GAUGAACGCUGGCGGCGUGCCUAAUACAUGCAAGUCGAGCGAACAGACGAGGAGCUUGCUCCUUUGACGUUAGCGGCGGACGGGUGAGUAACACGUGGGUAACCUACCUAUAAGACUGGGAUAACUUCGGGAAACCGGAGCUAAUACCGGAUAAUAUUUCGAACCGCAUGGUUCGAUAGUGAAAGAUGGCUUUGCUAUCACUUAUAGAUGGACCUGCGCCGUAUUAGCUAGUUGGUAAGGUAACGGCUUACCAAGGCAACGAUACGUAGCCGACCUGAGAGGGUGAUCGGCCACACUGGAACUGAGACACGGUCCAGACUCCUACGGGAGGCAGCAGUAGGGAAUCUUCCGCAAUGGGCGAAAGCCUGACGGAGCAACGCCGCGUGAGUGAUGAAGGUCUUCGGAUCGUAAAACUCUGUUAUUAGGGAAGAACAAACGCGUAAGUAACUGUGCACGUCUUGACGGUACCUAAUCAGAAAGCCACGGCUAACUACGUG